ACAACAUAGGGACCGUCGGUCUAUCGAGCAAUGUCACCCACUCGGUGGAAGAUCUUUCCUUUCGUCGU
rnacentral:pre_miRNA from 1 species